rnacentral:rRNA from 1 species
CCGGCACGGGUGAGUAACGCGUAUGCAACUUGCCUAUCAGAGGGGGAUAACCCGGUGAAAGUCGGACUAAUACCGCAUGAAGCAGGGGCCCCGCAUGGGGAUAUUUGCUAAAGAUUCAUCGCUGAUAGAUAGGCAUGCGUUCCAUUAGGCAGUUGGCGGGGUAACGGCCCACCAAACCGACGAUGGAUAGGGGUUCUGAGAGGAAGGUCCCCCACAUUGGUACUGAGACACGGACCAA